AGCAGUGUAGCUUAGUGGUUAAGGGGUCGGACUCGUAACUGAAAGGUUGCCUAUUCGAUUCCCCACUGGGCCACUGCUG